rnacentral:rRNA from 1 species
CGGCGAGCGGCGGACGGGUGAGUAAUGCCUGGGAAUAUGCCCUGAUGUGGGGGAUAACUAUUGGAAACGAUAGCUAAUACCGCAUAAUCUCUUCGGAGCAAAGAGGGGGACCUUCGGGCCUCUCGCGUCAGGAUUAGCCCAGGUGGGAUUAGCUUGUUGGUGAGGUAAUGGCUCACCAAGGCAACGAUCCCUAGCUGGUCUGAGAGGAUGAUCAGCCACACUGGAACUGAGACACGGUCCAGACUCCUACGGGAGGCAGCAGUGGGGAAUAUUGCACAAUGGGGGAAACCCUGAUGCAGCCAUGCCGCGUGUGUGAAGAAGGCCUUCGGGUUGUAAAGCACUUUCAGUAGGGAGGAAGGUAGUGUAGUUAACACCUGCAUUAUUUGACGUUACCUACAGAAGAAGCACCGGCUAACUCCGUGCCAGCAGCCGCGGUAAUACGGAGGGUGCGAGCGUUAAUCGGAAUUACUGGGCGUAAAGCGCAUGCAGGCGGCCUGUUAAGUCAGAUGUGAAAGCCCGGGGCUUAACCUCGGAAUUGCAUUUGAAACUGGCAGGCUAGAGUCUUGUAGAGGGGGGUAGAAUUUCAGGUGUAGCGGUGAAAUGCGUAGAGAUCUGAAGGAAUACCAGUGGCGAAGGCGGCCCCCUGGACAAAGACUGACGCUCAGAUGCGAAGGCGUGGGGAGCAAACAG